GUUAAGUUUUAUUCUUGCUUUUUCGUUCAUUUUUUGUUUGUUUUAUAUGUAAGUGUGUGCGUGAUUUUACUUUUGGACUCUAAAUGGGCUUUGAGGUUAGGUGAGUAUUUCUCAUUAGUUGUUAUUGGUUGAUCAAGUAUUCUUGUAUUUAGCAAUACAUUUUAGUUUCGGUUAAAUUUUGUGCCAGCAGCCGCGGUUAUACCUUGGAGGCGUUUGAACGGGUUUGGUGUUAAAGAUAGUUAUAUUAUUUAUUUGGAUUGGGUUUGUUUUAAUUGUUUUAUAGGUGGAAUUAUUUAUUGUUUUUGUUUGUCUUAUGUUUAGAUUUGGAGGCUAUGAAAUUUUAUUUUUAGACUAGGAUUAGAUACCCUAUUAUUUUAGAAUGUUAAUUUUUUGUGCCUGAGUAGUAUUAGUUAUGUUCUUGAAACUUAAAGAAUUUGGCGGUAUCUCAUUCCGUCCAGAGGAAUCUGUCCCGUUAUCGAUAGUCCACGUUGGACCUUACUUAUUUGAUUUUGGUUUGUAUACCGCCGUUUAUUGAUUAUCUUUUUAGAGGUUGUGUUAAUUUUCUGGUUUCUUUAUUUUGAUGGAUUUCAGAUAAGUGCAGCUUGUUUUUAAGUGGAAUGAUGGAUUACAUUGAUAUUUGUUUUUGGAUUGUUGAUUUUAAUAUUGACAUGAAAUUGGAUUUGGUUGUAAUAAUUUGUAGAUUGUUAUUGUGAUAAUUGGUUCUGAGAUAUGCACACAUCGCCCGUCGCUCUCGUUUAUGUUAUAAUGAGAUAAGUCGUAACAAAGUGGCUGUACCGGAAGGUGUAGCUGGAUUGAU
rnacentral:ncRNA from 1 species